CGCUGGCGGCGUGCCUAACACAUGCAAGUCGAGCGAUCUUCUUCGGAAGGGAGCGGCGGACGGGUGAGUAACGCGUGGGUAACCUGCCCUGUACACACGGAUAACAUCCGAAAGGUAUGCUAAUACGGGAUACCAUAAGAAAGUCGCAUGGAUUUCUUAUCAAAGCUUUUGCGGUACAGGAUGGACCCGCGUCUGAUUAGCUAGUUGGUAAGGUAACGGCUUCCCGGCGACGAUCAGUAGCCGACCUGAGAGGGUGAUCGGCCACAUUGGAACUGAGACACGGUCCAAACUCCUACGGGAGGCAGCAGUGGGGAAUAUUGCACAAUGGGCGAAAGCCUGAUGCAGCAACGCCGCGUGAGCGAUGAAGGCCUUCGGGUCGUAAAGCUCUGUCCUCAAGGAAGAUAAUGACGGUACUUGAGGAGGAAGCCCCGGCUAACUACGUGCCAGCAGCCGCGGUAAUACGUAGGGGGCUAGCGUUAUCCGGAAUUACUGGGCGUAAAGGGUGCGUAGGCGGUCUUUCAAGUCAGAAGUGAAAGGCUACGGCUCAACCGUAGUAAGCUUUUGAAACUGUAAGACUUGAGUGCAGGAGAGGAGAGUGGAAUUCCUAGUGUAGCGGUGAAAUGCGUAGAUAUUAGGAGGAACACCAGUUGCGAAGGCGGCUCUCUGGACUGUAACUGACGCUGAGGCACGAAAGCGUGGGGAGCAAACAGGAUUAGAUACCCUGGUAGUCCACGCCGUAAACGAUGAGUACUAGCUGUCGGAGGUUACCCCCUUCGGUGGCGCAGCUAACGCAUUAAGUACUCCGCCUGGGAAGUACGCUCGCAAGAGUGAAACUCAAAGGAAUUGACGGGGACCCGCACAAGUAGCGGAGCAUGUGGUUUAAUUCGAAGCAACGCGAAGAACCUUACCUAAGCUUGACAUCCUUCUGACCUCUCCUUAAUCGGAGAUUUCCCUUCGGGGACAGAAGUGACAGGUGGUGCAUGGUUGUCGUCAGCUCGUGUCGUGAGAUGUUGGGUUAAGUCCCGCAACGAGCGCAACCCUUGCCUUUAGUUGCCAGCAUUAAGUUGGGCACUCUAGAGGGACUGCCAGGGAUAACCUGGAGGAAGGUGGGGAUGACGUCAAAUCAUCAUGCCCCUUAUGCUUAGGGCUACACACGUGCUACAAUGGGUGGUACAGAGGGCAGCCAAGUCGUGAGGCGGAGCUAAUCCCUUAAAGCCAUUCUCAGUUCGGAUUGUAGGCUGAAACUCGCCUACAUGAAGCUGGAGUUACUAGUAAUCGCAGAUCAGAAUGCUGCGGUGAAUGCGUUCCCGGGUCUUGUACACACCGCCCGUCACACCACGGAAGUUGGGGGCGCCCGAAGCCACUUAGCUAACCUUUUGGAAGCGAGUGUCGAAGGUGAAAUCAAUAACUGGGGUG
rnacentral:rRNA from 1 species